rnacentral:tRNA from 1 species
GGAGACGUGGCUGAGUGGCCGAAAGCGGCACCGUGCUAAGGUGUUAGGGGGGAAACUCCCUCGUGGGUUCGAAUCCCACCGUCUCCG